CCUUAACCUGCUAAAUAGUUACGCGAAUUCCGAUUCGUGGGCAACUUCUUAGAGGGACUAUCGAUGUUUAAUCGAUGGAAGUUUGAGGCAAUAACAGGUCUGUGAUGCCCUUAGAUGUUCUGGGCCGCACGCGCGCUACACUGACAGGGCCAACGAGUUUAUAACCUGCGCCGGUAGGUGUGGGUAAUCUUUUGAGACCUUGUCGUGUUGGGGCUAGAUCUUUGUAAUUUUCGAUCUCAAACGAGGAAUUCCUAGUAAGCGUGAUUCAUCAGAUCGCGUUGAUUACGUCCCUGCCCUUUGUACACACCGCCCGUCGCUACUACCGAUUGAAUGGUUUAGUGAGAUCUCGGGACUGGCUUGCUACGGCUGGCGACAGCCCGGCUGGCCGGGAACCUGCUCAAACU
rnacentral:rRNA from 1 species